rnacentral:rRNA from 1 species
AGCGAACGCUGGCGGUAUGCUUAACACAUGCAAGUCGAGCGCGAAAGUGACUUCGGUCAUGAGUAGAGCGGCGGACGGGUGAGUAACACGUGGAUAAUCUGCCUUUAGGACUGGGAUAACCCUGGGAAACUAGGGCUAAUACCGGAUAAGACCACAGGUUCCAUGGAACCAGGGGUAAAAGGCGGCCUUCGGGCUGUCGCCGAAAGAUGAGUCCGCGUCCCAUCAGGUAGUUGGUGAGGAACGGCUCACCAAGCCGAAGACGGGUAGCCGACCUUAGCGGGUGAUCGGCCACACGGGGACUGAGACACGGCCCCGACUCCUACGGGAGGCAGCAGUGGGGAAUUUUGGACAAUGGGGGCAACCCUGAUCCAGCGACGCCGCGUGUGUGAAGAAGGCCUGCGGGUUGUAAAGCACUUUUAGUGGGGAUGAAAAGCACCGGGCUAAUACCCAGGUGUCUUGACCUAACCCCAAAGAAAAGCACCGGCUAACUCUGUGCCAGCAG